UGGGGAAUUUUGGACAAUGGGCGAAAGCCUGAUCCAGCAAUGCCGCGUGUGUGAAGAAGGCCUUCGGGUUGUAAAGCACUUUUGUCCGGAAAGAAAUCCUUGGCUCUAAUACAGUCGGGGGAUGACGGUACCGGAAGAAUAAGCACCGGCUAACUACGUGCCAGCAGCCGCGGUAAUACGUAGGGUGCAAGCGUUAAUCGGAAUUACUGGGCGUAAAGCGUGCGCAGGCGGUUUGCUAAGAUCGAUGUGAAAUCCCCGGGCUCAACCUGGGAACUGCAUUGGUGACUGGCAGGCUAGAGUAUGGCAGAGGGGGGUAGAAUUCCACGUGUAGCAGUGAAAUGCGUAGAGAUGUGGAGGAAUACCGAUGGCGAAGGCAGCCCCCUGGGCCAAUACUGACGCUCAUGCACGAAAAGCGUGGGGAGCAAAACAGGAUUAGAUACCCUGGUAGUCCACGCCCUAAAACGAUGUCAACUAGUUGUUGGGGAUUCAUUUCCUUAGUAACGUAGCUAACGCGUGAAGUUGACCGCCUGGGGAGUACGGUCGCAAGAUUAAAACUCAAAUGAAUUGACGGGGUCAUAGCUGUUUCCU
rnacentral:rRNA from 1 species